UCCUUGGUAAUAUAGUGGUAAGUAUCCCUAUCUGUCAUGUGGGAGACCAGGGUUUGAUUCCCUGCUGGGGAG
rnacentral:tRNA from 1 species